rnacentral:lncRNA from 1 species
AGGGGCUGGCAACGGGCAAUUGUGCAGCUCUGAAUGGAGGCUCCGCUUUAGAUACGACCGAACGUCAGCCCCCAGUGGCUGAAGACUCUAGCACUCUGAGUGCUCCAGCACACAAGUCUGAAACUCCCCUUGCACUGCCAGAACACUCUGGUGUGACAGAGGCCCUCCCUGCGGAAGAGCGUGAGGAGCCACAGGCUUGCCCUGGGGAAGACACUAAGGAGUCACAGCCCUGCUCUACCACAGAACUAAAGCCCCCAGUGCCACAUAGAGCUGAGCCAGAGCCGCCAGCACCUUGCCUUCCAGCACUGGCAGGACCCCCUCUGCCUAGUUGUCGGGGACAGGCUGAGCCCCCUGAGGCUCGCCCUGGGAUACAGCUGGGAGCAUCGGCAGCCAGCGCUCUGCAAGCUGGAAACCCAGAGUCUAGCCCAGAGCCCUGUUGCAGUCAGGGGCCUCCAGCAGCCACCAGCCUGACCUCGACACAAAGCCCAGUGUGUGCCAGCUUCCCUAUCCACUCACUGCACUCUUCGAGAUCCCCGACAGGCCGCUCAGGCCCCAGCAGUGUGGCCCCUCGAACCCUGGCCCUGAGGCAGCGCCUCAGAGCUUGUCUCACCACCAUCCACUGUUUCCACGAGGCUCGCCUGGAUGACGAAUGUGCCUUCUACACCAGUCGAGCCCUGCCCCCAGGGCCUACCAGGGUCUGCACCAAUCCUGUUGCUACAAUGCUUGAAUGGCAAGAUGCCCUGCGUUUCAUUCCAGUUGGCCCUGUGGCCCCACAGGACUCUCCGUCGUGACUCUGGCCUUUUCUGGGCUUCUGCCCUGCUGUACUCACCCCUUCCUUUAGCCUUAUUUAUUGUCGACCUGCCCAUUGGACUGGGAGCCAACGCCCUUUUAUCCUUUAUAAUAAAGUUUCUAUAAAUUGUGUUUGAA